CUGGCAUUCCUCAGGGUAUGGGCAUCAGCAGGAAGGGUGGGAGCCCAGAGUUGCUUUACUGACAGACACACACACAACCUCAGAAAAUGAUUGUAGCAAGUGCUAUCUGUAUUGAUUCUCACAGGGACUGCCCUUCAGAAAUUUGUAUUUUGCCUACUGCAUAGGGUCUUUAGAGGACAUUUGGGAGCCAUGCUUGGCCUUGUUCGAAUGCCAGCCUAUUUCCUGCUAAGGAAGGAUGGCAGGACUGUGAUCAUAAUGCAUACAGGAGCUGGGGAAAGGACGAAGCAGGAUUUUGAAGCCAUCUCUGUAAGGCCGAGAGCAAGCUGUGGUCCAUGAAGAAGGUCUGAACCCAGAGCCAUGGUCAGAGCAGCCGCAUCCAGUGUCACGAUGCUUGGGACACUUACUGCCUUGUCACCAGGGCCGGGCAACUGGAGGGCUUGGGCUUCUCUCGGUGGCAUCAGAGAGAGGAAGGCAGACCAGCCUCUUCAGGGACAGUGGCGCUUGCCUGGGUGCACACCCUGGAGAGAGGUGUUAGGGCCCCAGCCCUGCGGAGCUCGGCCGGAAGUUCAGCUCUGGUGUCAGCCUUAAGAGAUGGACUCAGGCGUGCAGGCGGCAGCGUGGCCUCACCCAGACCGCAAGCCUCUGCCUGUGUAGCACUGUGGUGACCCCGGCCACAGCUCCUCCGCCUGGCAUCACUUUGCUGUCAAAAUUCUGGAGGCCAGUGUCCUUAGGAAAGCUAAAAGAUGGAGACCUGUCCUACCAAAGAUUGUGUUCCUGAAGGCCUCCUUCCAGGCGCCUCCACCCUUUCGACCUGCUUGGCCCUGGGUGGUGAAGGGAGUGCGUGGGUGGCUCAUGGAGGGCCAGGGGCACCCCAGCCUGUCAUUCCACAUAGCCCCAGAUGGCAGCACACGUGGAAGGGGAAGUGUGACUUCCUGAGGCUGCAUCUCACCUGGCCACAGAAUAUGGAGAAUCCCCUCUGCACCCUGCACAUUCCUGUUUGCCCUUCUUCAAACAGGCUCGUUAACUGCUGCUUGGGCUGGCAGGGUGGGGCACCUCGGAACCCCACAUCCAGCUUCAGGGGCGCCCUUCCUGGGACACGACGGUAGGCUCCUCAGCACCCCGCCGGCCACACCAGAGGCCUUCUACUUCCUGCCAGCUCUGCCGUCUGUUAGACAUCGAGUGCCUGGGUCGGAAGGGCAGGGAUGCUGGGGACCCUCGGGGUCCAGCCUCGUCCUGGGAGAGGAAGCUUCAGGAAAGCACUUAGGAUAAAGGGAAUCAGGCAGAGACUGGAGUCCCGCCUGGCCGUGGGAAUCCAUUCAUCUCAGGCUGUAGACCCUGCAGCACGAUUCCUGCAGGUGACAGUUAAGAGCAGCACAGAUGUGGCUGUAUCUGCUUUUAUUCUUCUCCAUUUAACAAUUUUUAAGGAGUUUUUACUAAAAUUGUUUUCUCUGAAAAAACAUUUUUUAAAUGAGCCAAUCCUUUUUCCUUUACAUGAUGAAGGCUGCUUUGUGCUGCCUUUGCCAGGUAUGACCCCGGGUACCUGGGCGAGGCCCACAACCCUCAGCUACCACUGACCUGCGCUUCCAGUAGAAAUCCAAUGGCUGAAGAUAGGCUAGAGAAAGCUACUGAGUAUUACACUGAAAAAUUAUGUGGAGAGAGAGAGAGAGAUGUCUGAGAUUUUUGUUGUCUUUUGGAGAGACAUUGCACCUGUUUCCAGUAAGUCCUGCUUGCUUGAUCUCCACUAACCUCCUCAUUCUGAGCCUGAUUCGGGAAGCUCCGUUUCCCAGCAGACAUCCCGACAGGCUGACUUGAAUCACUGGGCUAUGGAACGUGCUCUUCCCAUGGUGGAGCGAGGGAUGAAUCUAAGCAGCAAGAUGGGCAACGUGGGCUCGUUCUUGACCCCAGCGGUGCGGUGCCACCCCAUGUGUCCAUGGACGCCGCCUCCGGUGGGGAGGAUGUGAUGUCCAGGGAAGGAGGCAGCAGCCACUGGGUGCACACAACUCAUGCAGCUGCCCCCUUGGUGCAGAGCUCCAUGAUGCUCACGAGGCUCCCAUGUGGCCAGGUGUUUAAAAGCUAUGCCCACUUUGUCAGCCUUCCAGCCAGCUUUGGAAAUACAUUUCUUCCUUUCAUUUCUUGUUAGUUGAUUCCUGGGGCCUGUUUUACUCUAGGGCUCUCAGAGCCGCUGCUGGCCACACAUCAAUCACUUUCUGGAAGCUUCCUCCUCCGUAAAUGGGGCCACCUAGGCAAGGGGCAAAACGCACCCCGUCACCCUGCCCCAUAGAGCAGUCCUGACCCUCCAAAUCAGGUGGGAGGUGAAAGCCUGCGCCCGCUGUCUGGCUUGUCCAGGCUGGGCCAAGGAGGCCUGGAAGACCUCUAGGAGCUUGCUGGGGGAAGACCGGCUCUUCCCCGGGUUGCGCUGACUCCCACAUUGUAUGCGCAUGCUGGGACAUUUUUAGGAGCUCAGGUGGAGCACACGUUGCUGGUGUGCAUUUGACUGACAGGUUGUACUGUGUGCAAUAAAGAUGUUGAGCCUUAAGCCCCUUGAACGGACUGGCGCGGAGGGACCUGCAGCAUAGCCUGGCCGGCUUUCCUGUGCCUCCGAGUCCAGUGUUGCUCCCUGUGCUGCCUUCCCCCCUGCUUCUGUAAAAAUGACCUACACCAGCUCCUGCGCCCUCCACCUGGAGGAGACCUCAGUCCUCUCGGCAUCGAGCCCAAGCGUCAGACAAAGUACCACCUUCUCACCCAAGGCAUUGGUGUUCAGAACUUUUAGUUCCCACUCCCCACAGUUCAAAAGAAUCAAUGUGAAUUUACCUGCAGCUUACGUUAGUUUCAAGGGAAACUUCAUUCUCACGCAAGCAUAUCAGACUAUUGUGGAACCUCUGGGACUGGACUUGAAUACCUUGCACGUUUCAGACCUGGGGUGCCCUCUCUGCUGCCAGUCACCUUUCCUUAGCCGCUCUCCCCUUACCUGUGGCUCAGGAGUCAUCCCACGGGCCCGUUAGCUGUUCAGUGAGAAGUUCGCAGCUCUUGCAUCAGAUGAGCUGCAUUUGUAUCAAGGAUGCGCUGCCUAAUGAAUACAUCCUCUUAAUAUUCAGGCUCUGUCUCUGCAUUCGCUGCAGACAGUCCACAUUCAGCAUUCCAAGGCAAGGACACUUCUGCUCCUGGGCAGAUCAGCAUUCUGGGCCUUCUCCAUAUACUAGCAGUCUUUCCAUUAAGUCCUGCCAGAUCCUUGAGUUUUCCUUUUUCCUUCACGUCUGUCACUCUGUCCAAAUAAGCAUGAAUAAACAGAAGUGCAAAUGAGUUGAUAUUUUUGUGGUCAGCAGAGGCUGCUGCCAGGAACUUCGCCUUAGGUCUACAGCUAGGGAUGUGAAGAGAACCCUGAGGGCCCCUCCACUGAUGACACUUCCUUCUCAACAUUUUUAAACAAGCACAAAUGAUAUUUGUAAAGAGAGUUUAUUUAUUACGGUAAUAAACUAUUUUAUACAU
rnacentral:lncRNA from 1 species